AGCAGUCGAACGAUGAAGCCCUUCGGGGUGGAUUAGUGGCGAACGGGUGAGUAACACGUGGGCAAUCUGCCCUUCACUCUGGGACAAGCCCUGGAAACGGGGUCUAAUACCGGAUAAUACCUGCCUGGGCAUCUGGGUGGGUUAAAAGCUCCGGCGGUGAAGGAUGAGCCCGCGGCCUAUCAGCUUGUUGGUGAGGUAGUGGCUCACCAAGGCGACGACGGGUAGCCGGCCUGAGAGGGCGACCGGCCACACUGGGACUGAGACACGGCCCAGACUCCUACGGGAGGCAGCAGUGGGGAAUAUUGCACAAUGGGCGAAAGCCUGAUGCAGCGACGCCGCGUGAGGGAUGACGGCCUUCGGGUUGUAAACCUCUUUCAGCAGGGAAGAAGCGAAAGUGACGGUACCUGCAGAAGAAGCGCCGGCUAACUACGUGCCAGCAGCCGCGGUAAUACGUAGGGCGCAAGCGUUGUCCGGAAUUAUUGGGCGUAAAGAGCUCGUAGGCGGCUUGUCACGUCGGUUGUGAAAGCCCGGGGCUUAACCCCGGGUCUGCAGUCGAUACGGGCAGGCUAGAGUGUGGUAGGGGAGAUCGGAAUUCCUGGUGUAGCGGUGAAAUGCGCAGAUAUCAGGAGGAACACCGGUGGCGAAGGCGGAUCUCUGGGCCAUUACUGACGCUGAGGAGCGAAAGCGUGGGGAGCGAACAGGAUUAGAUACCCUGGUAGUCCACGCCGUAAACGGUGGGAACUAGGUGUUGGCGACAUUCCACGUCGUCGGUGCCGCAGCUAACGCAUUAAGUUCCCCGCCUGGGGAGUACGGCCGCAAGGCUAAAACUCAAAGGAAUUGACGGGGGCCCGCACAAGCAGCGGAGCAUGUGGCUUAAUUCGACGCAACGCGAAGAACCUUACCAAGGCUUGACAUCGCCCGGAAAGCAUCAGAGAUGGUGCCCCCCUUGUGGUCGGGUGACAGGUGGUGCAUGGCUGUCGUCAGCUCGUGUCGUGAGAUGUUGGGUUAAGUCCCGCAACGAGCGCAACCCUUGUUCUGUGUUGCCAGCAUGCCCUUCGGGGUGAUGGGGACUCACAGGAGACUGCCGGGGUCAACUCGGAGGAAGGUGGGGACGACGUCAAGUCAUCAUGCCCCUUAUGUCUUGGGCUGCACACGUGCUACAAUGGCAGGUACAAUGAGCUGCGAUGCCGCGAGGCGGAGCGAAUCUCAAAAAGCCUGUCUCAGUUCGGAUUGGGGUCUGCAACUCGACCCCAUGAAGUCGGAGUUGCUAGUAAUCGCAGAUCAGCAUUGCUGCGGUGAAUACGUUCCCGGGCCUUGUACACACCGCCCGUCACGUCACGAAAGUCGGUAACACCCGAAGCCGGUGGCCCAACCCCCUUGUGGGGAGGGAGCUGUCGAAGGUGGGACUGGCGAUUGGGACGAAGUCGAACAAAGUAC
rnacentral:rRNA from 1 species